AUGCUGGAGGUAUCAGAAGUGCGAAUGCUGACGUGAGUAACGACAAAACGGGUGAAAAACCCGUUCGCCGAAAGACCAAGGGUUCCAGUCCAACGUUAAUCGGGGCUGGGUGAGUCGACCCCUAAGGCGAGGCCGAAAGGCGUAGUCGAUGGGAAAAUGGUUAAUAUUCCAUUACUUCUGUGUAAUGCGAUGAGAGGACGGAGAAGGCUAAAUCAGCCUGGCGUUGGUUGUCCAGGUGAAAGGAUGUAGGCAUGUAUCUUAGGCAAAUCCGGGGUACUCUAUGCUGAGAUCUGAUAGCAAGCUGUACUUGUACAGCGAAGUGGUUGAUGCCAUGCUUCCAGGAAAAGUCUCUAAGCUUCAGUUACACAGGAAUCGUACCCGAAACCGACACAGGUGGUCAGGUCGAGUAGACCAAGGCGCUUGAGAGAACUCUGCUGAAGGAACUAGGCAAAAUGGUACCGUAACUUCGGGAGAAGGUACGCUGUUGUUGGUGAUGGAACUCGCUUCCUGAGCUGACGACAGCCGCAGAAACCAGGCCGCUGCAACUGUUUAUUAAAAACAUAGCACUCUGCAAACACGAAAGUGGACGUAUAGGGUGUGAUGCCUGCCCGGUGCUGGAAGGUUAAUUGAUGGGGUUAGCGUAAGCGAAGCUCUUGAUCGAAGCCCCAGUAAACGGCGGCCGUAACUAUAACGGUCCUAAGGUAGCGAAAUUCCUUGUCGGGUAAGUUCCGACCUGCACGAAUGGCAUAAUGAUGGCGGCGCUGUCUCCAGCAGAGGCUCAGUGAAAUCGAAAUCGCUGUGAAGAUGCAGUGUACCCGCGGCUAGACGGAAAGACCCCGUGAACCUUUACUGCAGCUUGACACUGAACUUUGACCUUACUUGUGUAGGAUAGGUGGGAGGCUUUGAAGCUGGAACGCUAGUUCCAGUGGAGCCGUCCUUGAAAUACCACCCUGGUAAUGUUGAGGUUCUAACUCUGUCCCGUGAUCCGGGACGAGGACCGUGUCUGGUGGGUAGUUUGACUGGGGCGGUCUCCUCCUAAAGAGUAACGGAGGAGUACGAAGGUGCGCUCAGCGUGGUCGGAAAUCACGCGUAGAGUAUAAAGGCAAAAGCGCGCUUAACUGCGAGACCCACAAGUCGAGCAGGUACGAAAGUAGGUCUUAGUGAUCCGGUGGUUCUGUAUGGAAGGGCCAUCGCUCAACGGAUAAAAGGUACUCUGGGGAUAACAGGCUGAUACCGCCCAAGAGUUCAUAUCGACGGCGGUGUUUGGCACCUCGAUGUCGGCUCAUCUCAUCCUGGGGCUGAAGCAGGUCCCAAGGGUAUGGCUGUUCGCCAUUUAAAGAGGUACGCGAGCUGGGUUUAGAACGUCGUGAGACAGUUCGGUCCCUAUCUACCGUGGGCGCUGGAAAUUUGAGAGGAUCUGCUCCUAGUACGAGAGGACCAGAGUGGACGAACCUCUGGUGUACCGGUUGUGACGCCAGUCGCAUCGCCGGGUAGCUAUGUUCGGAAGGGAUAACCGCUGAAAGCAUCUAAGCGGGAAGCCUACCUCAAGAUAAGAUUUCCCUAGGACUUUAUGUCCUCUAAAGAGCCGUUCGAGACUAGGACGUUGAUAGGUUGGAUGUGGAAGCAUAGUGAUAUGUGAAGCUGACCAAUACUAAUUGCUCGUGAGGCUUGACUAU
rnacentral:rRNA from 29 species